rnacentral:rRNA from 1 species
CCUACGGGAGACUGCAGUGAGGAAUAUUGGUCAAUGGACGCAAGCCUGAACCAGCCAUGCCGCGUGCAGGAAGACGGCCCUAUGAGUUGUAAACUGCUUUUGUACAAGGGUAAACGCAGAUACGCGUAUCUGUCUGAAAGUAUCGUACGAAUAAGGAUCGGCUAACUCCGUGCCAGCAGCCGCGGUAAUACGGAGGAUUCAAGCGUUAUCCGGAUUUAUUGGGUUUAAAGGGUGCGUAGGCGGUCGGAUAAGUUAGAUGUGAAAUCCCGAGGCUCAACUUCGGAAUUGCCUUUGAUACUGGUCGGCUAGAGUGUAGUUGCGGUAGGCGGAAUGUAUGGUGUAGCGGUGAAAUGCUUAGAGAUCAUACAGAACACCGAUUGCGAAGGCAGCUUACCAAGCUACUUCUGACGUUGAGGCACGAAAGCGUGGGGAGCAAACAGGAUUAGAUACCCUGGUAGUC